GACAGAGGGUGCAAACGUUGUUCGGAAUUACUGGGCGUAAAGCGCACGUAGGCGGACUUUUAAGUCAGGGGUGAAAUCCCAAGGCUCAACCUUGGAACUGCCCUUGAUACUGGAAGUCUUGAGUUCGGGAGAGGUGAGUGGAACUGCGAGUGUAGAGGUGAAAUUCGUAGAUAUUCGCAAGAACACCAGUGGCGAAGGCGGCUCACUGGCCCGAUACUGACGCUGAGGUGCGAAAGCGUGGGGAGCAAACAGG
rnacentral:rRNA from 1 species